ACUUUGUCUGAUUUCUUGUAGUGAAUUUGUCUUAAACAAACUUAAGAGAUAACGUGGAACAUACUUGACGAAUAAAACAGUUAUGAAGAGACUGUUUAUAAUUGUAAUUUGUAUUUAUUGGUUCGAAUUCCUAACCGGUCAAAUGCUGUUUGAUAAUUUUGGAGCUCGACAGGAACAAAACAACUUAAACUUGGACUUCACCAAAAGUGUACUUCAGCAAUUAUCUGAAGGUAUUGAAAAAAAGUUGAUGGAUAAACUUGAUGAAGUGGAAAACGUAAUGGAAGCAAAAUUUAGUCAGUUGAUAGAGACUACAAUAAGGAAAACUGUUGAAAAGGAAAUGGUCAUCGCCAGAAACGUAAGUUCACAUUUUUUAGUCAAAAAGGAGGGAAAAAUUGAUCUCACAAAUACAACACGUAGCGCAGUGGACAUUUUAAAAAGCGUGGAAACGAAGCUAAACAGUCUUACCGAAAAGUUUAAAAAUUUGAUCGACCGACAAGAAUUUGCAGAUUUGCUUAAUAGAAGCAUUUCUACAAUUAAGACGGAACAGCAAAUCUUAAGACAGGACAUGCUAUCUUUUACAACCUAUUUAGAUGGAAAAGCGGAAACUCUUUUAAAUAACAGUGAUAUGAAUAGGUUAAAUAUGAAAGAAGCAAUUGAUGGACUCUCCAGUCUGAUACAGGUACAAACUGAAGUAGAGAAAACAAAUGAAACGGGCAACAGAGGAACUACGAAAGACCUUCAAAUAUUUCAGGAAAUGUUACAAAACAAUUUAUCCGCCAUAGUUUCUGCGUUUGAGUCUCUUUUCAAUAUGACGAACCAGACGGGGUCUGUUUGUACAAAAACAAUGGCAGGUGAAUUUGGCGAUAAAGAACCUAAUCUUGAAAAAAUAUUUAUAGAUGGAUUGAACAAUUUUACCAUUAUUUUAGAAAAGACACUGAUGGAAAGAGAAAGUCUUCUAAGAGAGGUAGGGAAUAUAUCGGUACAGCUUUCUCCAAAAGAUGAAGUACUUGUUGUUGGAUUAAAUAGGUCUUCUAUUGAAAUGCUACAUCAGUUUCUUUUAGCGAUGCGGAAUCCUCAUCAUUUGAAAGUAACAACUACCUAUAAAAAUGAUUCAAAUACCAUAACAGGCUCUGAUUGUGCUGAUAUUUUGAAGAAAUAUCCUAAGACCAGAGGGAAGGAUGGCGUUUACAAUAUAACGGUUUUAUUAAAUAAAACAAAAUCCGUAUAUUGCGAUAUGACCACCGACAACGGAGGAUGGACGGUAAUUCAGCGAAGAAUCAAUGGAUCUCUGAAUUUUUACCGCAACUGGAAAGAAUACAAGAAUGGAUUUGGAUAUGCUGAUCAUGAGAAAUGAUAUGCUGCAUAGACUGACAUCUCUGAAGCCCCAGGAACUGCGAGUAGACAUGCAGAGAUUCAAUGCGGAAAAAGCCUUUGCAAAAUAUUCUAACUUUUCUGUUGGUGACGAGGAGAGUAAAUAUAAACUAAAUGUAAAAGGCUACAAUGGAACUGCAGGGGAUAGCCUUAAUUACAGUAAUGACAUAAAAUUUUCGACGCUGGACCAGGAUAAUGAUAAUGAUAGUGGAAACUGUGCCACCUACUGGAAAUCGGCAGGGUGGUUCAAAAGCUGCUUCAAAACUAACCCUAACGGACAAUGCACAGGUUCUGAAAUCAAAGGUCCUAAAUAUAUUGUAUGGCAUGGUUUAAAGACAUCAUUCAUUGCUCUGAAGAGCAUACAGUUUAUGAUUCGUCCACGUGUCUUAAUUUGAUACUGGACAUUGAAACAAGAGAUUCAUGUACAUCACAAGAAAAUGAUGUGUAAUAUCUAACUCAUGUCAACCUGAAAAACAAAACAAAACAAAAAGGCCACGUCUUACCCAUUUAACAGUCUAGCUUUGAUAUAUUUUAGCAUGUUUCAUUGUUUAUUCGGUUUGCAUCGGAAAUUGUCUUGUUUUGAAAUUUUCCUUUUUAUUAUUGUGUAUUUCGUUGAAAAUAAAAUUGAAAUUUAUCUG
rnacentral:misc_RNA from 1 species